rnacentral:tRNA from 1 species
GUGGUGGCUCAGUAGUAGAGCACUCGCCUGCACGUGCGAGACCCUGGGUUCGAUUCUUAGCACCACA